rnacentral:rRNA from 1 species
UACAGAGGGGGCAAGCGUUGUUCGGAAUUACUGGGCGUAAAGGGCGCGUAGGCGGCCUCUUAAGUCGAACGUGAAAUCCCCGGGCUCAACCCGGGAACUGCGUCCGAUACUGGGAGGCUUGAAUCCGGGAGAGGGAUGUGGAAUUCCAGGUGUAGCGGUGAAAUGCGUAGAUAUCUGGAGGAACACCGGUGGCGAAGGCGGCAUCCUGGACCAAUACUGACACUGAGGAGCGAAAGCCAGGGGAGCAAACGGG